UCGACCGUGAUGCGGGCGUCCUUGGCCUCGCGCGCCGAGCGCAAGCCGCGCUGGAUCAGCUCCAGGUGGUCGGC
rnacentral:tRNA from 1 species